rnacentral:rRNA from 1 species
UACGGAGGGUGCGAGCGUUGUCCGGAAUCAUUGGGCGUAAAGGGCGCGUAGGUGGCCCGGUCAGUUCGUGGUGAAAGCGCGGGGCUCAACCCUGCGUCGGCCAUGAAUACUGCCGCGGCUGGAGCACUGUAGAGGCAGGCGGAAUUCCGGGUGUAGCGGUGGAAUGCGUGGAGAUCCGGAAGAACACCGGUGGCGAAGGCGGCCUGCUGGGCAGUUGCUGACACUGAGGCGCGACAGCGUGGGGAGCAAACAGG